rnacentral:rRNA from 1 species
UACGAAGGGGGCGAGCGUUGUUCGGAUUUACUGGGCGUAAAGGGCGCGCAGGCGGCUCAUUUUGUCAGGCGUGAAAGCCCCGGGCUUAACCUGGGAACUGCGUUUGAUACGGAUGGGCUAGAGUUCGGGAGAGGAGAGUGGAAUUCCCAGUGUAGCGGUGAAAUGCGUAGAUAUCGAGAGGAACACCUGCGGCGAAGGCGGGUUGCUGGGCCGACACUGACGCUGAUGCGCGAAAGCCAGGGGAGCGAACGGG